UACGAAGGGGGCUAGCGUUGCUCGGAAUGACUGGGCGUAAAGGGCGCGUAGGCGGAUUGUACAGUCAGGCGUGAAAUUCCCGGGCUCAACCUGGGGGCUGCGCUUGAGACGUGCGAUCUUGAGUGGGGAAGAGGGUCGUGGAAUUCCCAGUGUAGAGGUGAAAUUCGUAGAUAUUGGGAAGAACACCGGUGGCGAAGGCGGCGACCUGGUCCUUGACUGACGCUGAGGCACGAAAGCGUGGGGAGCAAACAGG
rnacentral:rRNA from 1 species